rnacentral:rRNA from 1 species
UGGGGAAUUUUCCGCAAUGGGCGAAAGCCUGACGGAGCAAUACCGCGUGAGGGAGGAAGGCUUUUGGGUUGUAAACCUCUUUUCUUAGGGAAGAAGAACUGACGGUACCUAAGGAAUCAGCAUCGGCUAACUCCGUGCCAGCAGCCGCGGUAAUACGGAGGAUGCAAGCGUUAUCCGGAAUUAUUGGGCGUAAAGCGUCCGUAGGCGGCUGUUCAAGUCUGCUGUUAAAGGCCAGGGCUCAACUCUGGAUAGGCAGUGGAAACUGAGCAGCUAGAGAGCGGUAGGGGUAGAGGGAAUUCCCAGUGUAGCGGUGAAAUGCGUAGAUAUUGGGAAGAACACCAGUGGCGAAGGCGCUCUACUGGGCCGUUACUGACGCUGAUGGACGAAAGCUAGGGGAGCGAAUGGGAUUAGAUACCCCCGUAGUCC